rnacentral:rRNA from 1 species
AGCGGGGCCCAUCCCGUAAGGCUAAAUACUCCCGAGAGACCGAUAGCGAACCAGUACUGUGAAGGAAAGGUGAAAAGCACCUCGAACAGAGGAGUGAAAUAGUCCCUGAAACCGUCUGCCUACAAGCGGUCGGAGCAAUCUUUUGGUUGUGACGGCGUGCCUUUUGCAUAAUGAACCUACGAGUUACUUUCUCCGGCAAGGUUAAGGACUUCAGGUCCGGAGCCGAAGCGAAAGCGAGUCUUAAAAGGGCGUUUUAGUCGGAGUGAGUAGACGCGAAACCAAGUGAUCUACCCUUGGUCAGGAUGAAGGUUGGGUAACACCAACUGGAGGUCCGAAUGGGUAUACGUUGAAAAGUGUUCCAAUGAACUGAGGGUAGGGGUGAAAGGCUAAUCAAACUUGGAGAUAGCUCGUACUCCCCGAAAUGCAUUUAGGUGCAGCCUUUAUAUAGUAUAUAAUGAGGUAGAGCGACUGAUUGGAUGCGAGGGCUUCACCGCCUAUCAAGUCCAGAUAAACUCCGAAUGCGUUAUAUAUAUUUAUAAGGAGUGAGGGCGCGGGUGCUAAGGUCCGCGUCCGAGAGGAGAAGAAUCCAGACCAUCAGCUAAGGUCCCCAAAUAACAGUUAAGUUGAACUAACGAAGUCAGACUGCAGAGACAGCUAGGAUGUUGGCUUGGAAGCAGCCAUUCAUUUAAAGAGUGCGUAACAGCUCACUAGUCGAGGAGUCUGGCGUGGAUAAUACUCGGGCAUAAACUGUUUACCGAAGCUAUGGAUCUCGUAUGAGAUGGUAGGGGAGCAUUCCAUGUACGUCGAAGGUGAGGGAUGACCCUUGCUGGAGUGUAUGGAAACGCAAAUGUAGGUAUAAGUAACGAUAAAGGAGGUGAGAAACCUCCUCGCCGAAAGACUAAGGUUUCCUGAUCAACGUUAAUCGGAUCAGGGUAAGUCGGGACCUAAGGAUAAGCCGAACGGCGAUUCCGAUGGAAGAAUGGUUUAAUAUUCCCAUACUACUUUAUGGAGCGAUGUGGAGACGGAGAAGUGACAGUCCUGCCAUCUGACGGAAUAGAUGGUUAAAGGGUGUAGAUGUAGAUCGAAGUAGGCAAAUCCGCUUUGAGAGUCGAACCUGACAGUAUGCCGCGUACUUGUACAAGGCAAGAUGGACGUAAUCAGGCUCCCUAGAAAAUCCGCUAAGCAAAUUCAUAAAGUACCCGUACCGUAAACGGACACACGUAGUUGGGUUGAAAAUACUGAGGCGCUCGAGUGAUUCACGGUUAAGGAACUAGGCAAAUUGACCCUGUAACUUCGGGAUAAAGGGUCCCUGCAGAGAUGUGGGGCGCAGAGAAUAGGUCCAGGCAACUGUUUAACAAAAACACAUGGCUGUGCGAAAUAGAAAUAUGAAGUAUACAGCCUGACACCUGCCCGGUGCUGGAAGGUUAAGAGGAGAGCUUAUCGCAAGAGAAGGUUUGAAUUGAAGCCCCAGUAAACGGCGGCCGUAACUAUAACGGUCCUAAGGUAGCGAAAUUCCUUGUCGGGUAAGUUC